rnacentral:rRNA from 1 species
CGGGGGGAGCAAGCGUUGUUCGGAUUUACUGGGCGUAAAGGGCGCGUAGGCGGCCACCGCAAGUCGACUGUGAAAUCUCUGGGCUUAACCCAGAACGGUCAGCCGAUACUGCGGGGCUAGAGUGCAGAAGGGGCAACUGGAAUUCUCGGUGUAGCGGUGAAAUGCGUAGAUAUCGAGAGGAACACCUGCGGCGAAGGCGGGUUGCUGGGCUGACACUGACGCUGAGGCGCGAAAGCUAGGGGAGCGAACGGGAUUAGAUACCCCGGUAGUCCUAGCCUUAAACGAUGAAUGCUCGGUGUCUGGGGUUUUAUAGUCCCCGGGUGCCGUCGCUAACGCUUUAAGCAUUCCGCCUGGGGAGUACGGUCGCAAGACUG